GUUUUUCAUUUGCAAGUGUAUGAAAAUACCUGCCAGUGAGACUAUAAGACAGUUUAAAACAGAGUGGAGGUUAUAAUUAGGGUCAGUUCUUGUCCAAAUAUGGCUUAGAUUCAUUUCUUUUUGUGAGUUUCGCUCUCUCAGCAGGAAAAUGUGAGGAACAGCGAUCAAAGAUAGCGUCUGAUUUCAGCUAUGCGCCCCAUCCUGUCAUGUCAUUCUUUACUAAUAAUUCACUGUACUCGCUCAGCUAAAGCUUUCAUCAAAUGUUCAGAUGCAGCAAUAUCCUGGAUCACGUUGUGUUUCUGUGGUGCGCUGCUUUUCUUGGAAUGUGCACCGGCUCUUUGAUUGUUCUGUUUCCUGUGAUUUCAGAGGCCCUUUGUCUCCGUACGGCAAGUCAGUAAUCAGGGAACUCCGUCAUAGCUCCCCGUCGCUAGGCCGCUCUCUCCUAAUGUCACCCUCUGUGUAAUGAUAUUUUUGGCUCUGCUCUCAUGCCUCUUGCAGUCCAUUGAAGCAAAGAAGGAAAAAAAAUGUCAAUGUUGGCAAGAACAGUCACCUUUAGGAAUGUGCGCAGAAAAAAUAAAAAAGAGAUUGUGGCAUCAGUGGCAGCUGAGGGGGUAACUGCUCCGUCAUGAGGCAGAGCUCCAAAAAUGAAAAAAAUGAACAGUAAAUCCCUCUCAACGGGACCUUCCUCUCACCUUCAUACGCCUGUUAGCUCCUACAUGAUUUAUGAUUUGAUAUAUUACAGGCUACUGGAUACAUGGAUCAUUUUUCUCUGUUCACAAAAUGUGCGAGGAGGAACACAUAUGCCAAGACUGGAGAAUCAUAAUGAGUACUUUUAGUCAAGGUCCAAACACUUCCUCCACCACUGGUGCGCGGCGACACACCAGGCCUGGCCGAGGGGAAUCAUUGACUCAUUUCUGCCAUGUCACGUCUUCCCCAUGUCACCGGCCUGGGCCUGACAGCAGAUCCUGCUGUUUCACAUGCUGGUGCCAACCUAGAGAUGUGAAGUGGUUUACUCCCUGUGGGAAUGACAGCCUCGCUCUGAUCAACUCGGGCAGAUCACAUUCCAAGGGUUGUAGCUGACCAGUCUCACCCCUCACGCCCACCUGUUUCUGCGGCCUGCAUAGACUCAUGCCUGUUUACCUCUAAUGGGACUCUGCUGUGGAGUUAAAACCGAGGGGCCCGAUGGUUGUGGCCACAGGUUGGAGGAAUGUCUACCGUCUGGACGGGAAAAUGUAAUCAGCUGAGAUCAGCGAAUUAGAGGCCGGGUUUCUCAUUCUCCCUUCGCGCUCUCACUUUCCCUCCAUGUGCUUCUCACGCAUGCAGCCGCUCUCACUUUUUCUCACUCUCUCUCUGUGAGCACACACACACACACACACACACACACACACACACACACAUAUGCUCUUUCAGAUGAAGAAAAAUGACACCUUUUCUUUCUGCUAUUUCCUCUGUUUUUACAUACUUGGGCCUGGGGUACAAGAGGCAACCUUGUGUUUUCAUGUGACAAAACACACAGAGGUCUGUGUGGAUUCGGGAGAGGUGAAUAGCCUAAUUCAUCAUUCGGGGUUAGGCCUGUCUGAGCCUCAUCUGGGAAUAUCUCUAUCUACACUUAAAAAGUGGGACUGUUGGCGCUGUCUCUUGAGCUUAAAGGAACUACAACUCAGUCUUGUCCUCCGUUUGACUGAUGACUUCUCUGGAGAUUCAAAAUUCCAGAGUUCAAAUGUGGUUUUACCUACAAGCUGUAAGCCUGUGUUUCUCCUCAGAAAUCCUCCCGUUCAACAGAGGAAAUAGCAUUUUACCUAAUUCUUCAGUUUUUUUUUUUUUUGGCAGCAUUUGCUAAAAACAAACAUCAGUGGUGGAAGAAAUAUUCAGAUCAUUAAUUAAAGCACAAGUAGAAAUACUACAGUGUACAAAAACUGCUUUUAUUUAAUUUUACAAAUGCGGGGAACGCGGCAACAACACGAAACAACAAAAUAGGGAAAAAAUGGACUAACAUAUAGGUGCAUUUAUUAUGAACUGGGAUAAUGGCACUCCAAAAGUAUACCAAAAGGUAAACUUAGGACAAAGUAUUACAGUUUGUUUUUGUGUGUUUGUGGGGUUUCAUAUGUUUUGGGUGGAUCAUAUGCUGGUUUCGCUGAGGAAAGUACCUGAUUUACUCAGAGGAAGCACACCUGUGCUUCCUCUGAGUAAAUCAGGUACGUUCAGUCAGUGACAGAAAAAUGUCAAGGUAAAAGAUUUGUCAAAUUUUCAUCUAUAUUAUGGCUUUUUUUUUUCAGCAGUAGCCAUUGAAUUUACUGUCUCUCUCCAUGUUAGUUUCCCUUGUCACUGUUGGAGUCACAGAGGAAGGAUCCACAGGAAACGAUGCAUGCUUGUCGUGGACAUGGUGUAUAAGACAAAAGCUGAUGCAUACAAAGCUACAUUUAUAGCUAUGCGGAAGACAACAUUUCAUAAUCAUGAACUUAAUUUUGCUGUGACUGAUGACAUGGUUGAAUGUCUUUGCUGCCCCUAGUGGUGGAUGGUGGCUUGUGAGGGAAUAAAUGGCUGUGUUUGAUAUCACCCCCUACUCCCUAUAAAAUGCACCACAUUCACUGCCUGCUCUUUUAUUUGAGCAUUUAAGCCUCUGGGUGUGAAAUCUUUGCACUGUCAUGCUCUCAAAAUUGUGCACAAUGUCCAUGCCAUAUACCUCUUUCUGCUAAAAAUCCCACAAUGCGAUGCUUCACAUUUUAUAGAUGCAAAGGUUAAGGUUACAGUCGCGUGACACAACAGCUGUCAGCGAUGAGGUAAAAUGACAGCAAUUCACAUCUGUCCGAAACCUCAAAUUACAGCUCAGCAUGGAGUAAACUGUUGAGUGUUGCACUGGGAGUAGUGAUAGAGCGAAACAGUGAGUGAUUCUGGACUCAGCCUUACUGUAUAUUAUUUAAACACUCUUGCUGUUACUGUCAUUAACCACAGGUGCUGGCAAAUUCCACCAGGAUUGAAAAACACAGGGUGAAAAUACAGUGCAAAUAUUGCCAGCAAAGUCUAAUCUAUUAUGAAAAGUUACACAUUAAUUAUGCAGAAUGGCUCCUUUCUGUGUGUCAGUGUUGGGGUUAGUGAUACAUUAAUGCGUAAUCAACAUCUCACUGAAUAAUGUGGAGCUAAUUACACUUAUAAUGCAUCUUAUAUUAUGAACUGAUCGUGUUUUGUAAGCAAAAUCUCAAUCUGCAAGAUAACUAGUAACUACAGCUGUCACAGAAUCACAUAAAAAUGCUCAAAUAAACAACAAGGACCUGAAAGUAGGACUUCAGCAGACUAUGAGAAAAUGUGUAUCAGUUAUUUUCUGACGCUGACAAACACACAGGCCUGUCAGUGCGCUCAUGUGUCACACUGUAUAUAUUAACUCACACCAGAGGCAUUAUUUCUGAUAAUUAAGCCUCCUCAGUGGAUGUUAAGGGUAACAGGUCAACCACAGGCACGCUCACCCUGCGCUUUAAGUCCUCUGCUGCCCGUCACGUACACUCACUCUCACACAUUCUCACUCGCUCUCACACACAUGCUGAUAACCACACUUGUAAUGUGAACCUUACUGUGGAGGAGAGCAGGCCUAUAAUUACAGAGCAAUGGUGGGAAAGCCAUAAUCACAAAGACCCAAAUAGAAAAUCUGAAUCAACAGAUGAUUCCAGAUCGUUUUGUGCCCCCCCCAACCUGUUUACUCAAGGACGUUGUGAUUUACAUUUUGGAGCUGGAAAAACCUAUUGUCCCCCUCACACAAAUGUCAACAUUUCUCUGGUUGAGCCUUUAAGAAGCCUGUUAGCGGUGAUGUGUAAUUGUGCUUUCGUGUUUUUGCUUUCACUCAGAAGCCACAUCAAAGGUGUUUUUCUGUCUCUUGCCAACCGAUAGAGGAGGCAGUUUGAUUCUGAUCAUAACCUCGAAAAGAAGAGGAAGAAAAAAAAACGCACAUUGAUUUCAAUCAGUGGUCAAUUGUGAAUGACACGCCUAUGUUUGCUGGUUUACAACAGGUGCCACAGUGUGUUUCUGUUACACACACAAACUAUGCAGUUCCACUAUUGCAGCCCAGCCGACGGAAACCGUUAAAUGAGCAGAAACUAUGACACCUCAGUGGUAUGAAAAUUAGAUGUAAUGCACAUUUUCUUUCCAUAUGAGUGUAUGUUAUUUUAACUGGGGGUUUGGUCCUGUUUAUGGGCUUGUUGAUCAUGCAUGGGCUGCACUGACCUGUGUUAUGAAUGGCUGGCAGACUAUUCUCUUCAUUUGGACCAUUUAGAUUUUUAAUGACACAUUCUGAAAUAAAACUGUUCAGUUUCCUUUUUGUAGUAUAACUGCUUUAGGCUUGGUUUAGCAGCUGUUUGAAAUAUAAACUGACAAAAAAAAAUCCACAUUAUACUGCAUGUGGUUCUUUAAAAAAGAGAAAUUGCUUUGUGAAUCAUCUUCAUAUUUACAAUAUUUCUGAAGUAUAUGACAUAUUUCUUCUUGGGGUCAGUCAAAGGUCAUAAUGGUCAGUCACCCACUGAUUUUGCUUUGUAGCGCAACAACCAAAACAUGCGUCAGACAUGAGUGUUUUCUAUCUACCUAUCUAUCUAUGCACCUAUCUAUCUAUCUAUCUAUCUAUUUAUCUACCUGGAACAACUCUCCCUCUGUUUUCUGCAUCAAACCUCAGCCGUUUGUCACUGUAACUUUAAAAAAACACAGUUUAAAACACUGUCGUUGCUCAAUGGCAAUUGCCUAAGACACCCCAUUCCUGGGAAAUGAAUGCAUGCCCUUGUUCCAGUUUUAGUUUUUGCCCGCCACCAUGGGCUGCUAUUUGGUCUGCCAUUUCUCAGGGUUGUGGGCUUCUUUAAUGAGCACUUUGAUCCCACUCAGGUCUGGCGCUAGUGUUUAUGCGACCCUGAAGAAAAAACAAAAAAGAAAAAAAAAGAAAAAAAAUGUAUCCCAUUCUCUGGUAGAGACCUCUGAGCUGUGGUGUCCAGUGGAGCAGCCGCAUCAGGACCCCGGGGACCUCCUUCCACGUCUUCUUCCUCAGACCCCGAGUGACCACAGAGAGGUCGUGGCCGAGUGCACAAAGUCACGGCAGGGUGGAUUUACUGUGGAAAGUACA